rnacentral:rRNA from 1 species
GAUGAACGCUGGCGGCGUGCCUAACACAUGCAAGUCGAGCGAUUUACUUCGGUAAAGAGCGGCGGACGGGUGAGUAACGCGUGGGUAACCUGCCCUGUACACACGGAUAACAUACCGAAAGGUAUGCUAAUACGGGAUAAUAUGCUUUAGUCGCAUGGCUGAAGUAUCAAAGCUCCGGCGGUACAGGAUGGACCCGCGUCUGAUUAGCUAGCUGGUAAGGUAACGGCUUACCAAGGCGACGAUCAGUAGCCGACCUGAGGGGGUGAUCGGCCACAUUGGAACUGAGACACGGUCCAAACGCCUACGGGAGGCAGCAGUGGGGAAUAUUGCACAAUGGGCGAAAGCCUGAUGCAGCAACGCCGCGUGAGCGAUGAAGGCCUUCGGGUCGUAAAGCUCUGUCCUCAAGGAAGAUAAUGACGGUACUUGAGGAGGAAGCCCCGGCUAACUACGUGCCAGCAGCCGCGGUAA